AAAUAUUAAAUAUCUCAUCAACCAAGAAACCACUCAAUCAAAAUCAAAAGGAUGACAAAAUUUGAAUUAAAAAUGAAAUUAAAAAGAUUUAAAAUAGGAAAUUAAAGAGAAAGUUCUAAACCAUAAGCAAAACAAUGAAUAAAUAUGGCCAAGGAAAAUACACAAAGUCCCGAGUAUUACACAUAAAGAGAUCUGAACAGUUGGAUGCAAAAAUGUUUGAAAAUAAUCAAAAAAUAAAUUGCAAAAGGAAAC
rnacentral:lncRNA from 1 species